AUGCGCUUUCGAUAUGGUUUCGAUAUGGACUUAUCGUACUAUAAACAUUGCUCAGUUGGACAGACUUUUAAGAAGAUUAAGUACCAAUCACAUGUCACCAGCCUUUUGCAGUAUCAGCGAAUAGUAACAUAAAAAAAGAAAGUUCAAGAAAAGAAGCUUCUUUUCUCGGAUUAUUGGUAGACAUUAAUCGUUUUUGAUAGCUGAUCGAAUUGGUUUUAGUCCUGUUCACAUAUCCUGUAGAAGGGAAGCGUCUAAGCCAAGACAGGGCGCGUGUCAAUAUAUGUGAACAUACAGUUUUGGCACUGGAUGCAAGCUUACCGGAUGAGACAUAUUCAAGUCUUCCACUUGAAAAAUUCAGCCUUCUCAAGURCUUACAACAUCACAGGUUUCUGGUGAUAAAAGGAAUGGAUUGCAUCAAGUAGGAUGGGUUUACAUCAAGUACUAUUAAAAGCAUGUACAUGGUUGAAUCUCGACAUGACAGUACUCAGUGGUUCCUGUCUUUGUAAAGUGACAUUACCCUGUACAAGAAACACAAGCAUGACGUCAAAUGUCAUGUAACGUAUAAAUGACGUGGAUUACGUAACUUAUUACAUAUUAAAGUAGUCAAGUUAGUGUUAAUUCAGACGAAACAAUAAAUAUCAAUCAAUAUUCU